GAUGACAAUGUUUAUUCAUUAAUAAAACCUUUAGAAUUGGAACUACAAAAAACAGUGCAUACAUACCGUGGAAAAAUUUACUAAAUAUUUAUCAAACAAUUAGCAAAAACAUAAGAGAUCGCUAUGUCAGAUCACCAAAGGAAAGGUGAUUCUUGUUGCUUGCUACAUCAAAUGGAUUAAAAGAACAAAGCAUCGGAGGAUAAAUAUGAAGGAACUGUCUUGGGUGAAGCGUUAAGGCAGGAAUUAUUCAUCUACAGAAUAUUUUUUUUCCUAAAGAGGUUAAAUGAGCAGUAUUUUCAGGUAAUGAAGAAUAAGUUAAAAUCUUGGGCUUCAACAAAGAAAAAUUUUUGGCCUCUGAUGUUGUGUAAUGUUACUUACUAUCAUUCCAGUAUUGAUGAAAAUAUUAUUGAAUGGUUUUAGCCUGCAAACUUCUGUUGACUCAUACUCUCAAGAGUGGUGGGGCUGUGAAAAUGAAGAAAAUGUACCUCAAACACAGUGCAAACACUCAGGCAAGUCAGCUCUCUUCAGGAUGCGCAUUUAUUUCUCCCUUUGGAGGAGGCCUCAGUCCACCUCAGCCAAGGACUGAAAG
ensembl:lncRNA novel transcript